CUUGAUAGAACUCAAGAUUUGUCCUUAGCCAGCCAAUUAUCAUGGUAGUACUCACAUUCUAACUCUGUAAUGUUCUCAUAAUGUAUCUGUCUGUGCAAUAUAUAAGCUGUGAGUGAAUUCAUAGCUUUUUGGUUUAAUUGUAAUUCAUGGUAACAUAUUUCCAUAAGUUAUUGCAUUAAUAUACAAUUACCAUUUAAUUAUGAAGUUUAUAAGUAUUGACAGAAGUUACAGUGAAUUGCUAAAACCACA
rnacentral:lncRNA from 1 species